UACGAAGGGGGCUAGCGUUGUUCGGAAUCACUGGGCGUAAAGCGCACGUAGGCGGAUCUUUAAGUCAGGGGUGAAAUCCCGAGGCUCAACCUCGGAACUGCCUUUGAUACUGGGGAUCUCGAGUCCGGGAGAGGUGAGUGGAACUGCGAGUGUAGAGGUGAAAUUCGUAGAUAUUCGCAAGAACACCGGUGGCGAAGGCGGCAUCCUGGACCAACACUGACACUGAGGAGCGAAAGCCAGGGGAGCAAACGGG
rnacentral:rRNA from 1 species